rnacentral:SRP_RNA from 1 species
GCCAGGCAUGGUGGUGCAUGCCUGUAGUCCCAGCUACUUGGGAGGCUGAGGCAGGAGAAUCGUUUGAAUCCGGGAGGUGGAGGUUGCAGUGAGCUGAGAUCACGCCACUGCACUCCAGCCUGGGUGACAGAGCGAGACUCCGUCUCAA